rnacentral:rRNA from 1 species
GUACACAAAAAUGCACAUGCUGUGAGCUCGAUGAGUAGGGCGGGACACGUGGUAUCCUGUCUGAAUAUGGGGGGACCAUCCUCCAAGGCUAAAUACUCCUGACUGACCGAUAGUGAACCAGUACCGUGAGGGAAAGGCGAAAAGAACCCCGGCGAGGGGAGUGAAAAAGAACCUGAAACCGUGUACGUACAAGCAGUGGGAGCACGCUUAGGCGUGUGACUGCGUACCUUUUGUAUAAUGGGUCAGCGACUUAUAUUCUGUAGCAAGGUUAACCGAAUAGGGGAGCCGAAGGGAAACCGAGUCUUAACUGGGCGUUAAGUUGCAGGGUAUAGACCCGAAACCCGGUGAUCUAGCCAUGGGCAGGUUGAAGGUUGGGUAACACUAACUGGAGGACCGAACCGACUAAUGUUGAAAAAUUAGCGGAUGACUUGUGGCUGGGGGUGAAAGACCAAUCAAACCGGGAGAUAGCUGGUUCUCCCCGAAAGCUAUUUAGGUAGCGCCUCGUGAACUCAUCUCCGGGGGUAGAGCACUGUUUCGGCAAGGGGGUCAUCCCGACUUACCAACCCGAUGCAAACUGCGAAUACCGGAGAAUGUUAUCACGGGAGACACACGGCGGGUGCUAACGUCCGUCGUGAAGAGGGAAACAACCCAGACCGCCAGCUAAGGUCCCAAAGUCAUGGUUAAGUGGGAAACGAUGUGGGAAGGCCCAGACAGCCAGGAUGUUGGCUUAGAAGCAGCCAUCAUUUAAAGAAAGCGUAAUAGCUCACUGGUCGAGUCGGCCUGCGCGGAAGAUGUAACGGGGCUAAACCAUGCACCGAAGCUGCGGCAGCGACGCUUAUGCGUUGUUGGGUAGGGGAGCGUUCUGUAAGCCUGUGAAGGUGUGCUGUGAGGCAUGCUGGAGGUAUCAGAAGUGCGAAUGCUGACAUAAGUAACGAUAAAGCGGGU